UCUUUUUUUUUUUAAUGAAAACCUGCAUUUUGUGCUUGGUACCGAGAAGAUUAGCACGGCCCCUGUGCAAAGAUGACACACAAAUUCAUAAAGCCUUGAAUAUUUUU
ensembl:snRNA U6 U6 spliceosomal RNA